ensembl:lncRNA
AGGAUGGAGCGCAGAACCCACCAGUUUAUUCGGCACAUUUACUGAAUUAGUUUUGUUUGUCUUUCAGGCCUAUACAUUGGCUCCAGCACCCCCCAACACAGUGCCUCAGUGGAGCUACUCUCCCCUCACCCCACCCCCGCCUCCACUGCUGACAUCCCAUCCCGACAACAUCGACUGGACAGGGACCUCUGCAGUCCUCAUCACCUAUCCCCAUUAGCUGCCAUGGAUGGCUCGCGAGACGGGGUGUCGGGUCCCCUCUUGUCUCCUGGGAUGAAGGGAACAGGGACACCUCCUCCUCAUCCGCUGGAGAAACAGCAUGUCCACCCUCAUCACAAGCCCUACUCUCAGUAUCAUCACCAUCAGUCAACUAAUGAUGAAUACCAAGGCAGCUUUCAGAGCUGCUUCCAUUUCGGUGACUCCUACAGGAUGGAGCCGACAGUUGGUGGUGUCCACAUCCCUGGAGAUUCUCAUGUCUAUACUUCCCAUCAGCACAAUGGUUUCCACAUGUCGACGGCCAACACUGGCUCUGCAGGCUUCAGCUUAACCCAGGAGCUCCAAGGAAACGCAGGGUGCCAGUUCUCUUCAAGCCCAGAGGAGAGCAUUUACUUCCAGGUGGGCAGCUUUGACCGCAGCCUGAGCCACGUGUCCUCCAUCUACACAGAGACAUAGAGCAACACUGGAGCAGGACACAUUUCACCACUCCUCCUUUACCACUCCACAGUCUCAGAGUUUCCUUCCACAUACAUCUUCUCUAGUUCCUGCUUUUUUUUUUUUUUUUUUCAUACAAAAUAUGGGUCACAUAGUGAAUCAAAAUAGGUCUGCUGAGUCUCACCUUCAUAGGUGCCAGAUGCAAACCAGCAAGAUAAAGCCAAAAAAAUUGUAUUUAGUAUGCACCACUGAGUAAAGACUUACCUGCCACUAGCUGAAUGGUCAAGAUGCAGAUUACACCUGACUGUUACUUAGAACCCACUUGUUAGCUUUGUUACCAUGGUUCUCUCUCCACCUGGAACUAUUUAUAGGUACGGGAAAUUACCUCCUGAGAUUAGGUGCAUGGAUAUUCUUUAAGACAUGCAGGUGUGUGCACACUAAACAUCUGAUCUCCACAACUCUGUUUGUGUUUGCUUGUGUGGGAAAUGCUAUUUUUUUGUCGGCAGUCGUACUAGCGCUGACCCUGUAGCUCCGACACCUCUCUCGCCAGCUCGAGGCUGACCCCAGCAACCCUGGGUUGAUGUCGGCUCAGGACUGACCUGGUGCUCUGGGGCAUCAACGGCCCUCCCUCGUGCAUCCUUUGGGUCCCACCGGUGGAGCCCAGGGAGCAGGCAUGGAUGGAGCUGGGGGCGAGCCCUAGGGUGGUUACCACCAUGGCUCAAGGGUACCGCCUCCAGUUCCAGCGGCAGCCUCCAGUGAGCUCCCUGUUGCUUACAACUGUGACCAACCCCCAGCACCCUGCCAUCCUGAUCCUCCUGCAGAAGGGCACUGUGAGGGAGGUAUCGGUGGAGGACGCCCCCUCAGGCUUCUUCUCCAGGUACUUCUUGGUCCCCAAGUGGGAUGGCAGUCUCUGCCCUAUCCUAGACUUCCAGGACAGGGCACCUGCCUACAUACCCUGUCUUGCCUACUGGCGGUUUCUGAGGUUUGCCUUCGACGGUUAGGUUUAUAAGUUCUGGGUCCUGCCAUUUGAUAGCCACCUGGCACCUUGGAUGUUCACAUGCUGUAUGAAUUUUGUCAUGGUGCCCUUCAGGGUGCAGGGCCUGCAGGUCCUCAAUUAUCUGGAUGACUGGCUCAUCUGUGCUGCCUCGGAGCUCACUGGUCCCGGUCACCUACCGCCAGCUAGGCCCCAACGGACGGUCCUGGAUGGCUGCAGCAUCUGCGGCUCCUCGGAUCACCUCUGGGGGUCCCAGCACAUCUUCCCAGCUGUGGGCCAUGGUUCUGGCACUAAACCGCCGCGUGGCGGUGCUUUAGCAAUUGUCUCACGUACACUUUGACUCCCUUAAGGCAGUCCACCUGCCGAUGCUUCUGAACACGGCAGCAGACAUGCCGUCCCACUGUGGACACAAAUCGGGGAGUGGAGGCUCC